AGGGGGCGGAGCCGAGGGCUAUAUAAGCCGACGCCCCACCCACCCUGGUCCGCCCACCCACGCGGUGCCUGGCCGACUCCGCCCGGCGGCCGCAGGUGUGUAGCGGAGCGGGAGCGGUUCCAGGAAAAGACAUCUGGGGCUGGGAUUGUGGCUCAGCGGUAGAGCGCUCGCCUAGCAUGCGCGGGUCCCUGGGUUCGAUCCUCAGCACCACAUAAAAAUAAAGGUAUUGUGUCCAACUACAACUAAAAAUAAUUUUAAAAUUUUAAAAAUAGGAAAAGAUAUUCAACA
rnacentral:lncRNA from 1 species